rnacentral:lncRNA from 1 species
AUCAUGAGGCCUCCCCAGCCAUGUGGAACUGAAUAAGAGCUAAAUAUAAUCACAGCAGGAAUCCUAAUGAAAUGUUUCAACAGGAAGCAAUAUUAAAGUAUAUCAACCUAGAGUGAUUGUUUUGAUAGACUGUCUUAAAGUCAAUCAAUCAUCAUUUGUUGAGCUCUGCUAUCUGCAAAUCACUGAAUGAUUUAGCAAGAAGAUGAGAAAAAUGUUAUCUGUCCCUUGAUCUCAUAGAGUUUACAAUUAACUAGAGAUAUAUAGGUAAGUGAAAAAUGAAGAUGAUUAAAGACAACAAUAGAAGAACAGGAAGGUCGGAGAACAAAAGAAGAAAGAAAUAUUUCUAUUUGAUCUCAUUGGAACUAAGAGUGAGAACUCAUUCAAUUCCUCAAGAAUGGCACCAGGCAAUUCAUAAAGGAUGUGCUUCCACGACCUGAACACCUCCCACCAGGCCCCGCCUCCAACAGUGCAGAUCAAAUUUCAACACCUGAUUUGAAGGGGACAAAUAUCCAAUCAAUAUCAGUGAGGAUUCAAAACAAUGCUUCACAAAAGAUGUAGUUUUACUUGGGUUUUGCAUGAUUUUGAUAGGCAGAAGAAAUUGGAGAAGAUUGUUGCAGACUGAGGGAAGGCCAAGAAGUAGAAAUAGCUUUCCUGCCACCACCAAUUUGGAGAAAUUUGUAGCUGAAAUUAUAUCACUUUUGACUACACUCUGUAAAUUCAAAUUUGAUUUGUGUUGCUGAGAAAUUCUGGAUGAGAUUGGCCUGUGAUUACCAUACAAAUUGGUUGUAUGUAAAUAUGUGCUUCUAUAGUGUUUGAGGACAUGACUUAUUCUUUCAUAUAUCUGAAAUAUUCCUCAGAUUGUUUCCUCUCCUAAUGUAUAUUGUAUUUAAAAAAUGAGAAAAUGUAAGUCUCUUUUGAAUAAAAGGCUGAAAGACUUCUAUGGCAUACUACACCAUAAUUACUUAUAUGCAAACAUACAAUAAGUCUACAGAAACUCCUCAAAUACACAUUUAACUUUGUUCUAGGCAUUAUGGAGGAUAUAGUGUUGUUCCCAAAAGAAUGUCUUAACAGUGCUGAUACAUUAAAAAUGUUCUAUAAAUUCUUGUUAAUUAAAUAUUACCUGAUGAGUUUACAAUUUGAAGGGAGGACGAGUGACUCCAGACU